rnacentral:lncRNA from 1 species
AAUGGAUCUGCCUUCAGUGUUUGGAACAUCAAUGGUCACUUAAUCCCCCUGUUUCAGAAAUGCAGCCUCUGAAAUCCUCCUGGAGCCCCUGAUACAGAGACCCUCUUUUUCACCUGAGCCAGAGACUCAACCUCCAGACUUCUGCUGAGAAUGGGGAUGGCCCCAACCUGACCCUGAGCAGCAUGAAUGUGUGCUAAAAAUAGCAGCUAUACAAUGCGGCAGGCGGCCCGGCGAGACUCUGCGUUUAAAUGGUUUUCUUACCAGCGGUUUCAGAGCACUUUCCUCUCAUGAAUUAACCCUCAGAGGAGCCCUGGAAGGGAGCUGACCAUCUUGGCUCAAAAUCCUCUUCAUGAUUACUCCACAGUGUCUGGAUUCCCUCAUACUAACAGGGCUGCUGGACAUCCCAGAGUUCCUAAGAUGCUUAGACUCAUUAAGUUCAACUCUAACCCUCAAAAAGGAGGAUGAUAGACAGGCAGCUCCAGAGCUGUGCAGUGCAUGGAGGUGGGUGAUUUGGAGAGGAUAUAGAACAGAUGUGAACAAUAAGCCAUGCAAACUAGAUGUGUGAAGAUAACUGACAAGAGGAAAACCAAAUGAUGCCAUGAAGCUGAG